rnacentral:lncRNA from 1 species
AUGGAACAUACGACUUAGAACCAUUGAUGCUUGUAUUUAGUACAACUCAGUGCCAUGUCACACAACAGCUAGAAAGUUAUUGUGCUUUUAACUUGUUCACAACAAGGAACAAGUAUAAUAAGUGAAGAAAAAAAGCGUGUGAUCCCUGUAAGCUGCUACAGCUACCCCCUUCUGCAUUUUUCACAUCACCGUUAUUCGUAGAGCUUUCCAGUUUGCUAAGCAUUGUCAUUAUCAAAGGAAAAGUCAAUGCUGAGAAUGCUGAUUUGGAAAGGUUACGGAAAAGUAAAGUCUUGAACAGGCAUUGCUUCUGACCUUCAGUAACUCUGGAAGGAUUGUUUUUUCUUUUCCAUUUCUGUUGCUUGCAACGUUGCGCUAUGAAGCUGUGUCCUCCUAACUUUCUCCACAAGAAUUAAGUCAAGGAUAGCUCGAGACGAAGCACAAAUGUAAGCUAAAGUGAGCAGUUUCAACAGCUGUAGUGCAAAAUUACAAGUAGUCGACACAACAACAGUGAUUAACAGUGCAUUCUAGCUUGCUCCUUCAGAAAUAACCUGCCGAUAGUAGCAACCAGAGGAACAAGUCAGUCAAUUCGUUUUUUUUUUUUGGAAUGUAAAUCAAUUUGUUCAACAGAUGGUUUGUCAAAAAGAAGGUUAUGUUUUCUUUUUUUUCAGAGGAUGCAUAUGGAGAGUGGUGGAUUACAUGAAUCUUCCUGGCAGAUUGGCGAUGGCCACAAAAAAGAGUCUUGCACGAGCAGAGGAGCUCUUCCACUUGGCAUUGAUUUUCUUUCAGUACCCGUGUCUGGCUCUCUGCAUAUUCUGCGGAGGACAUUGUCACAAUGACAUGGAGGAACACAGGUACAUAUGUCACAGUGUUCCGGAUGGAAAUUUCCCGUUGGCAUCUUCUCUGUUCUCACUGACCUUCCUGCAAAAGGACAUAUCACCCAUCAAGCUCCUGAAAGCUACGACAUCGGAUCACGAAUAGGGACCUCUUACCAUAUCCCUCCUUGGCUCUUACGCUCCAACAACCUGGCUCUCGCAUCCUGAAGUGACCUGUGCACUGAGCCCAAGGAGGAGAGUGGUUACUCUCUUCUGAACGGCCCGCGGGACGUCCCUUGACCGUGAGCCCGCCAAGUGGCCAUUUCGUCGAGCACCUCUACCGCGUGACGGUGUGAGGCUUUCCCUCCCACUGGGCCGUUCCCUGGCGCUGCUGAGCCGAGUCACCGCAUUAGGGCUUGUUUGGGAUCAAAGGUAAUGAAGUGUAUUGAGGGGGCUAGAAUCCUCUACUACUUAAUUUUAAAUAGUGAGGGAUUAUAGCCCCCUCAAUUCCCUCCAUUACCCUUUGUCCCACACAAGCCCUUAGCGUCACUCGACGUCGCUAGGUCGCCGUGAUGGCGUGAUCCUCACCGUGGAGCACAGCAGCUGGUCAGCCUGAUUGUUAGUCUGAUCUC